ACGGGAGGCAGCAGUGGGGAAUAUUGCACAAUGGGGGAAACCCUGAUGCAGCGACGCCGCGUGAGUGAAGAAGUAUUUCGGUAUGUAAAGCUCUAUCAGCAGGAAAGAAAAUGACGGUACCUGUCUAAGAAGCCCCGGCUAACUACGUGCCAGCAGCCGCGGUAAUACGUAGGGGGCAAGCGUUAUCCGGAUUUACUGGGUGUAAAGGGAGCGUAGACGGUAAGGCAAGUCUGAAGUGAAAUGCCAGGGCUCAACCCUGGAACUGCUUUGGAAACUGUCCUACUAGAGUGCAGGAGAGGUAAGUGGAAUUCCUAGUGUAGCGGUGAAAUGCGUAGAUAUUAGGAGGAACACCAGUGGCGAAGGCGGCUUACUGGACUGUAACUGACGUUGAGGCUCGAAAGCGUGGGGAGCAAACAGGAUUAGAUACCCUGGUA
rnacentral:rRNA from 1 species